rnacentral:rRNA from 1 species
GAUCCAGGCUCAGGAUGAACGCUAGCUACAGGCUUAACACAUGCAAGUCGAGGGGCAGCAUCAUCAAAGCUUGCUUUGAUGGAUGGCGACCGGCGCACGGGUGAGUAACACGUAUCCAACCUGCCGACAACUCUGGGAUAGCCUUUCGAAAGAAAGAUUAAUACCGGAUGGCAUAGUCUUCCCGCAUGGGAUAAUUAUUAAAGAAUUUCGGUUGUCGAUGGGGAUGCGUUCCA